rnacentral:snRNA from 1 species
GUGCUCGCUUCAGCAGCACAUACACUAAAGUAGGAACAAUAGAGAGAAGAUUAGCAUGGCCCCUGCACAAGGAUAACACGUAAAUUCAUGAGGCUUCCAUAUUUUUA